rnacentral:lncRNA from 1 species
CCGUCUUCGCAUUUGAACUCUUUACAUGUACGUACAAUUACAGCUCGAAUUACUUCGGAUCUUUCUAGAGGCAUUUGGGGCAAUGCGUCUUUGAUUACAGCAACAAUUAAAUCACCAAUACGAGCAUAUCGCUGAUUACCAGCAGCUCCUAUGACUCGAAUACACAUCAAUUUUCGAGCUCCACUAUUAUCUGCUACAUUUAAAAGGGUCUGAGGUUGAAUCAUAUUAUUUUGAUUUCAAUUUGUUAUUUCAAUGCAAAAGGAUGAAAGAAAUAUUGUCUUUCCAGAAAGAAAAACCGGGCAUUUUUUUUAUCUUCCAUACCCCUUUUAGGGUUCUAUAUCUCUAAUCGAAUAAAUUGACUUCGUAUGGGCAUUUUACUGGCAGCUAUGGAGAUAGCUGCUCUAGCUACAGUUUCAGAUACUCCCCCCAUUUCAUAAAGUAUACGACCAGGUUUAACAACGGAUACCCAAUAUUUGGGGGACCCCUUUCCCGAGCCCAUACAUGUUUCCGUGGGUCUUAGUGUAACCGGUUUGUCUGGAAAUAUACGUACCCAUAUUUUUCCACCACGGCGUGCAUAUCGUGUUAUUGCUCUUCGUCCUGCUUCUAUCUGUCUCGCCGUGAUCCAAGCGGGUUCAAGUGCUUGAAGAGCAUAUCUACCAAAACAAAUACGAUUGCCUCGGCAGGAUUUUCCUUUCAUUCUUCCUCUAUGUUGUUUGCGAAAUCUGGUUCUUUUGGGGUUAUAGUCGAUGGUUCUCUUUCUUAGUUCCAUCUCUACUGCAAAACUGGACAUGAGAGUUUCUUCUCAUCCAGCUCCUCGCGAAUGGAAUCGGAAAGCAUGUAAAUUUCUCUAAUUCAUAAUAUUCCAAAAUAUUACGGUACGGAUAGAUACACAUUAAUAGAUAAUAGAAAAAGUUCGGUUUUUUAUAUUGAAUUUGUUAAAACAGAAAAAUAUAAUAUAUAGUCAAAAAAGAAGAUCUAGAAUAUAUCCAGAUGUCUGUGUAUAUUUAUGUAAAUUCUAUAUUUAUAGAUAAUGUAAUUCUUCUUAAAAAAAUCCUUAUUUUUACUCUUAUUGAAUCGCGGUAAAGUAUUCUAAUUCAAUAAGAAUUUCGCGGGCGAAUAUUUACUCUUUCCUGUCUUAUUUGUUAAUUUAUAAACUUACCAAAUAAGACAAUAUUUUUGGUUUGUUCCGCCAUCCCACCCAAUGAAGUGUUAGGAUUCUUUUCAAUAAAAUCCUAUGGAAUCAUAGGUUCUGUCGUUCCCACUGCUUCUCCUUGAAUGGUUAGGUCUGGAUCUCGCAACGGAGCUUCCAAAAAAUUUCUUUCCGAGUUAAUUUUCUCAGUUUUAUUAACCCGGGCGGCUCUUUAUUAUUGCUUUAAAUUUGUAGUUCUUGUUUCAAGUUACAAUUUUUAAUUCUCUAUUAUUUUUAUUAUAUUGAUGCUUUAUCACAUUGCCUUUUAUGAUGUAAUUCAUAGACCAUACAUAGUGGAAUCCUAUAUCUUAUUUAUUUCCUCUUCCUUCUUUCUAUCAUCCCUCCCUUUAUCCACAUCCCUUUAGUUUUUCUUCACAACCAAGAAUCCCUUUUCUUUUUUAGAGAAAAAAUUGCAGUUGCUACAACUAUAUGACACAUCUACUCAUUUAUGAUAGAGGUAUUUAUUCAUAUAGUGACUGUUUCUUAGUUAGGAUCUCGACAAUACGAAGCAAUAGGUUGGUUAUUAGUUAAUUUUCUAUAAUUACUAAGUUUUUUUCUUAAAAAAAGAAAAAAAUAACGAGUCACACACUAAGCAUAGCAAUUAUAUUAAAUGAUUUAUCAAUUUUCAUUAAAUCUUAUAGAAAGAGGUACAAUUUCUUCUUUUGCAGGGAUUUCAGGAAAAAAGUCUCUUGUCAUUUUUUAUUCUAUCAAUGGACAGAAUCCGAAGACAAGAUUACUUAUUCUUCGUCUACGAAUAUCCAAAUUUUUACACCUAAUACUCCAUAGAUAGUCCGAAUUGGAUAGCAACAAUAAUCAAUUUUAGCGCGAAUUGUUUGGAGGGGAAGUCUACCCUUUUUAAUGGAUUCGGCGCGUGCAAUUUCUUUUCCUCCGAGACAACCCGCAAUUUUUACCUUUACUCCCCUUAUAUCUGCUUUUUUAGUUAAUUCAAUGCCUUUUUUCAUUGCCUUUCGGAAUGAAACUCUAUUUUUUAAUUGGAAAGCUAUAUAUUCUGCAAGAAUGUUAGGCUGUCUAUAAGGUUCUUUAACUUUUUCGAUAGAAAUAUUAAAUCUCUGGUUUACAAAGUUAAUUUCCUUUUGUAGAUCUUUCUCUAAUUCUUCGAUUGCUUCUUUUUUUCUUUAAUAAAUUUAGGAAUCCAAUAUGGAUUAUGACGUGGAUCGUAUCGAUUUCUUUUUGGAUUUCUAUAUGCGACAAAUGGCUCACAUGCAAUGUGCCAUUUGUCACAACCUGAAGUUUUUCUUUUUUUCGUAGAUCCGUUUAUUCAAAACGUUUUAUCUCUUAAACCAUGGGUCCAAAUCUCAAACCGCUUUCAUCGCAACAUGGGGUGUUGGAGUGAUCUUUGCAACGAAUACUCCUCAAGUAGUGAUUUCGGCUAGAUAUAACCUUUUAAUUGUUUUCACGCGAUGACAUAGGCCGUCUGAAUCCGGUUCCACGUUGCGCUAAGCUUGGCCGUAACGCCUUAUAGUUCUUCGAAAUAAAAAGGGUAAUCCACCAUUGAUACAAGCCGAGGAAGGGUACGUGCCAUCAUCGAUCGAUCAUGGUGGCCGUGCUUCGACUACAGGCGGCGGCAAGGAUGCUCCAACAAUCGACGACAGAGCACCGGCGCCGCAGCAGGCUCUUCCACGACGCCGGUUCACCCUCGACCCCCUCCGCUGCUGCCGAGGUACGUACCUACAUCUAUAUACUGUUGAAAAUAUGAGCAAUUUACCGAAUGAUUUUAUUAACAGAAAUAAUAGAUAAAGCAUGACUAAUAUAGUAGAGAUAAAACAAGUCAUGCGUUCUGACAGAGAGAAGGAAAAUAACUUCUGCAUAUAUGAAUCGUAGCUUAUCAUAUCUAUAGCAGACAGUAGAAUUAGUUGCAUAUAUGAGGUAGAACCUAACAUAUUUAGGGCAAGUACUAGUACGAGAAACGGUGGCAGGAUAUGUAACAGAAAGAAAAACACAUACGGGGCAGCAACAGCAGUAGCACUGGACUUGGGGUCGGUGUCCUCGCCAGCCAUGUCGUCGAGGAGGUUGUCGACGUCGGGGAAGAAGUCGUCGGAGUCCAGGGCGUCCGUGACGAAGGAGUCAGUCAAGUGCGUGGCAAAAAUUUAGACAUCGACUCGGCUCAUUCCCGCGGCGCCGCGGCGGGCAGCGGAGGAGGAGCGCGCGUGGAUAUCCCUCUUGUUCUCAUGCUCGUACAAGUGGAGAAAGAACCUCCCUUAUAAGGAGGUCCAACCUCCACUAAACUAGCAAUGUGAGACUGAACUUUAGUAGUAUCCCUUGCCUUGCACAAAUGGGCUAAGUGGGCCUCUAGGAUUUAUUAGGAAUUUCUAAAAAUAGUUAUUGGGCUGCCUAAAAUAGACUAAAUUCCAGCACAUACGGCAUCAUCAUGAAAACUAAAACAGACAAAGACGAACUACGACGUAUUUUUCCUCAACAAAGCCUCGUACAUCGGUACAUGUACUCACUCGUGUUGCGUUGCGUCCGUUGAUGACCAGAGGCUCUCGUUGCUGCAACUACACGAGAGGCAGCAGGAGCUGUCGGAGGAGCUGUACCCCGGCCCGUGCCGCUGGAGCUAGAGAAGAGAAUACUAGGCAAGAGAGUGGUUCUUCUACACCCACUCAAGAAAACAUGUCAAAAUAUUUUUUAAAAUCCAAAACUUUGUGUAAAUGAUCAUCAACAAAUGUUAGAGAAGAUUGCAAAAUUUAGUGGUCAAACAACAUUCGAGGAGCUCUCUACAAAAAGACAAAUUCACUGAAAAUUAGUCAAAAUAUAAAUGCACUGUUUGAGCAGAUUUUAUAAUUUUGCCUUUUUUGUAGAGAUCUUCUCGAAUGUUAUUUGACCAUCAAACUUUACAAUCCCUCGUAACAUUUGUUAAUGAUCAUUUUCAUAAAGUUUCAGAUUUUUUAAAAACUUUUUACUAUAUUUUCUUGCGUGAUUGCACCGUGGGUGCAUCGAAGAUGAGUGUAGCCACUAUUUUCAAGGCCCGCGGCCUGUUGCAGAAAACCAGAUACUCGGACCUGCUCAAGGUGGUCAAGAAGCACGUCGAGCCUAGACCAAACAACGCCGACUGGUAAGUACGUAUGGUAUACGACGUACAUACGCCUCCUAUUUUCUCGGCGCUGGUUAGCUAAUCACUAGCCUUUUCUUUCAUAUAAUUGCAGACGGUGGUUUCCAUCGAAAGUGAGAUUCUUCAAUGGAUGCGAGUGGGCGGUGAGUCUGGGGUUCCUACAUUGCGUGUGCUUCCAUGAUCUCACCCUGUUUGCUGCAAAAGAGACUCCCGUGGAAGAUGAAGAAGAUGAUGUAGAGGAGGAGGAGGAGGGACAAUUUUCACAUAUCUCGAUUGGUGUCAUGUCUUUAGUUUCUCUAUAUAUAGUUUAUAUGUCAUGUUUUUAUCAUAUCAGUUUUUUCUGGAAUGCAGGGGGUCUAGGAGACCCUAAGAAACAAAUCUUUAUUGCUAAUUUUGUUAGAAAUUAUAAUUUUAGUUUUGUUGGUGUAUCUGAAACUAAGGAGCAAAUCUUUUACAUAUAUGUUUUUAGACAUAAUUAGUUGUUAUACUUAUUUUGAGUGGAUUUUUUUUCUCCCGCUAGGUGCUAAUACUAAUGCUUUUAAGGUAUUAUUAGAAAAUGAAAUUGGCAUUUAUUUUGUUAGAGCUCCGGUAAAACAUUCAAACAACUAAACGGAGAUGUCAAUACGGCGUAACACGGCGUACUUCCAGGCCAUCGAUAAUGCCAAUACGGCGUAUUUCCAUGCCAUCGCUAACGGUAGAAGGCGCCAUAACACCACCCCCCCCCUCCUCUGGGACGGUGACACCGUUUUACAGUGGUCGUCCGACAUCCGCGCACAUGUCGAUGGCUUCUACAAAGCUCUCUUCUCCUCCUCCCCUAGGGGAGGCGUAUCCCUGGCCCCAUAUUUCUGGGCUGCACACUUGCCUAUCGCAACUGAGGAGAAUGCGACCCUCACGGCUCCAUUCUCCGAAGAAGAAGUGUGGUUGGCCAUCAAGGGCAUGAAUCUGACAUCUGCCCCAGGUCCGGAUGGACUCCCAGUUAGGUUCUUCGAGACCUUCUGAAAUGUGCUCAAACCCGAGGUGAUGGCUAUCUUGAGGAAUUUUAUGUUGGAUCCAUUGACCUUGCACGUCUAAACUACGAGAUUAUCACGCUUAUCCCCAAGGUCCCUAGGGCCUCGGACUGUUGGAAAUAUGCCCUAGAGGCAAUAAUAAAAGCAUUAUUAUUAUAUUUCCUUGUUCAUGAUAAUUGUCUUUAUUCAUGCUAUAAUUGUGUUAUCCGGAAAUCGUAAUACAUGUGUGAAUAACAGACACCAACAUGUCCCUAGUGAGCCUCUAGUUGACUAGCUCAUUGAUCAACAGAUAGUCAUGGUUUCCUGACUAUGGAGAUUGGAUGUCAUUGAUAACGAGAUCACAUCAUUAGGAGAAUGAUGUGAUGGACAAGACCCAAUCCUAAACAUAGCAUAAGAUCGUAUAGUUCGUUGCUAGAGUUUUUCCAAUGUCAAGUAUCCUUUCCUUAGACCAUGAGAUCGUGUAACUCCCGGAUACCGUAGGAGUGCUUUGGGUGUACCAAACAUCACAACGUAACUGGGUGACUAUAAAGGUAGACUACGGGUAUCUCUGAAAGUGUCUGUUGGGUUGACAUGGAUCAAGACUGGGAUUUGUCACUCCGUAUGACGAAGAGGUAUCACUGGGCCACUCGGUAAUGCAUCAUCAUUAUGAGCUCAAAGUGACCAAGCGUCUGGUCAUGGAAUCAUGCAUUACGGUACGAGUAAAGUGACUUGCCGGUAACGAGAUUGAACGAGGUAUUGGGAUACCGACGAUCGAAUCUCGGGCAAGUAACAUAUCGAUUGACAAAGGGAAUUGCAUACGGGGUUGCUUGAAUCCUCGACAUCGUGGUUCAUCCGAUGAGAUCAUCGUGGAGCAUGUGGGAGCCAACAUGGGUAUCCAGAUCCCGCUGUUGGUUAUUGACCGGAGAGUCGUCUCGGUCAUGUCUGCCUGUCUCCCGAACCCGUAGGGUCUACACACUUAAGGUUCGGUGACGCUAGGGUUGUAGGAAUAUGUAUAUGCAGUAACCCGAAUGUUGUUCGGAGUCCCGGAUGAGAUCCCGGACGUCACGAGGAGUUCCGGAAUGGUCCGGAGGUAAAGAAUUAUAUAUAGGAAGUACUAUUUCGGCCAUCGGGACAAGUUUCGGGGUUAUCGGUAUUGUACCGGGACCACCGGAAGGGUCCCGGGGGUCCACCGGGUGGGGCCACCUGCCCCGGGGGGCCACAUGGGCUGUAGGGAGUGCGCCUUGGCCUACAUGGGCCAAGGGCACCAGCCCCAACAGAGGCCCAUGCGCCUAGGGUUUAAGAGGGAAGAGUCCCACUAGGGGAAGGCACCCCUUAGGUGCCUUGGGGGGAGGGAAACCUCCCUUUGGCCACCGCCCCCUAGGAGAUUGGAUCUCCUAGGCCGGCGCCUCCCCCCCCCCCUAGGCCCUCCUAUAUAUAGUGGGGAAGGAGGGCUUUUUAGACACGCCUUUGGUUGCCUCCUUCUCCCUCUCCAACACCUCCUCCUCCUCCAUAGUGCUUAGCGAAGCCCUGCCGGAGUACUGCAGCUCCAUCACCACCACGCCGUCGUGUUGCUGCUGGAGCCAUCUUCCUCAACCUCUCCCCUCCCCUUGCUGGAUCAAGAAGAAGGAGACGUUACGCUGAUUGUACGUGUGUUGAACGUGGAGGUGCCGUCCGUUCGGUGCUAGGAUCUCCGGUGAUUUGGAUCAUGUCGUGUUCGACUACAUCAUCCCCGUUCUUUGAACGCUUCCACUCACGAUCUACAAAGGUAUGUAGAUGCAUCCGAUCACUCGUUUCUAGAUGAACUCAUAGAUGGAUCUUGGUGAAACCGUAGGAAAAUUUUUGUUUUCUGCAACGUCUCCCAACAGUGGUAUCAGAGCUAGGUCUAUGCGUAGUUCUUCUUGCGCGAGUAGAACACAAUUUGUUGUGGGCGUAGAUGUUGUCAACUUUCUUGCCGCUACUAGUCUUAUCCUGCUUCAACGGUAUUGUGGGAUGAAGCGGCCCGGACCAACCUUACACGUACGCUUACGUGAGACUGGUUCCACCGACUAACAUGCACUAGUUGCAUAAGGUGGCUGGCGGGUGUCUGUCUCUCCUACUUUAGUUGGAGCGGAUUCGAUGAAAAGGGUCCUUAUGAAGGGUAAAUAGAAGUUGACAAAUUACGUUGUGGCUUUCACGUAGGUAAGAAAACGUUCUUGCUAGAACCCUAUUUCAGCCACGUAAAACUUGCAACAACAAUUAGAUGACGUCUAACUUGUUUUUGCAGCAAGUGCUUUGUGAUAUGAUAUGGCCAAAGUUGUGAUGAAUGAUGAAUGAUCUAUAUGUGAUGUUCAUGCUAUUGUAAUAGGAAUCACGACUUGCAUGUCGAUGAGUAUGACAACCGGCAGGAGCCAUAGGAGUUGUCUUUAUUUUUUUUAUGACCUGCGUGUCAUUGAGAAACGCCAUGUAAAUUACUUUACUUUAUUGCUAAACGUGUUAGCCAUAGUAGUAGAAGUAAUAGUUGGCGAGCAACUUCAUGGAGACACGAUGAUGGAGAUCAUGAUGAUGGAGAUCAUGGUGUCAUGCCGGUGACAAGAUGAUCAUGGAGCCCCAAGAUGGAGAUCAAUGGAGCUAUGUGAUAUUGGCCAUAUCAUGUCACUAUUAUUAUUUGAUUGCAUGUGAUGUUUAUCAUGUUUUGCAUCUUGUUUACUUAGAACGACGGUAGUAAAUAAGAUGAUCCCUCAUAAUAAUUUCAAGAAAGUGUUCCCCCUAACUGUGCACCGUUGCGACAGUUCGUUGUUUCAAUGCACCACGUGAUGAUCGGGUGUUUGAUCCAAACGUUCACAUACAACGGGUGUAAGACAGAUUUACACAUGCAAACACUUAGGUUGACUUGACGAGCCUAGCAUGUGUAUAGACAUGGCCUCGGAACAUAGAAGACCGAAAGGUCAAGCAUGAGUCGUAUAGAAGAUACGAUCAACAUGAAGAUGUUCACCGAUGUUGACUAGUCCGUCUCACGUGAUGAUCAGGCACGGCCUAGUUGACUCGGAUCAUGUUAUACUUAGAUGACUAGAAGAGGGAUGUCUAUCUAAGUGGGAGUUCAUUGAAUAAUUUGAUUAGAUGAACUUAAUUAUCAUGAACUUAGUCUAAAAUAUUUACAAUAUGUCUUGUAGAUCAAAUGGCCAACGUAGUCCUCAAUUUCAACGUGUUCCUAGAGAAAACCAAGCUGAAAGAUGAUGGCAGCAACUAUACGGACUGGGUCCGGAACCUGAGGAGCAUCCUCAUAGCUGCCAAGAAAGAUUAUGUCCUACAAGCACCGCUGGGUGACGCACCUGUUCUCCCUGCAGAACAAGACGUUAUGAACGCUUGGCAGGCACAAACCGAUGACUACUCCCUCGUUCAGUGCGGCAUGCUUUACAGUUUAGAGCCGGGGCUCCAAAAGCGUUUUGAGAGACACGGAGCAUAUGAGAUGUUCGAAGAGCUGAAAAUGGUUUUCCAAGCUCGUGCCCGGGUCGAGAGAUAUGAAGUCUCCGAUAAAUUCUUCAGCUGUAAGAUGGAGGAAAAUAGUUCUGUCAGUGAGCACAUACUCACUAUGUCUGGCUUACAUAACCGCUUGACUCAGCUGGGAGUUAAUCUCCCGGAUGAUGCGGUCAUUGACAGAAUCCUCCAGUCGCUUCCACCGAGCUACAAGAGCUUUGUGAUGAACUUCAAUAUGCAGGGGAUGGAAAAGACCAUUCCUGAAGUAUUUGCUAUGCUGAAAUCAGCAGAGGUAGAAGUCAAGAAGGAACAUCAAGUGUUGAUGGUCAAUAAAACCACUAAGUUCAAGAAGGGUAAGGGUAAAAAGAACUUCAAGAAGGACGGCAAGGAAGUUGCCGCGCCCGGCAAGCAAGCUGCCGGGAAGAAGCCAAAGAAUGGACCCAAGCCCGAGACUGGGUGCUCUUGUUGCAAGGGAAGUGGUCACUGGAAGCGGAACUGCCCCAAAUACUUAGCGGGCAAGGGAAGUGAUAUACAUGUAAUUGAUGUGUACCUUGCUAGUACCCGUAGUAGCUCCUGGGUAUUUGAUACCGGUGCAGUUGCUCACAUUUGUAACUCAAAGUAGGGGUUGCGGAAUAAGCGGAGACUGGCAAAGGACGAGGUGACGAUGCGCGUUGCGAAUGGUUCCAAGGUCAAUGUGAUCGCCGUCGGCACGCUACCUCUAUAUCUACCUUCGGGAUUAGUUUUAAACCUUAAUAAUUGUUAUUUAGUGCCAGCUUUGAGCAUGAACAUUGUAUCGGGAUCUCGUUUAAUUCGAGAUGGCUACUCAUUUAAAUCCGAGAAUAAUGGUUGUUCUAUUUAUAUGAGAGAUAUGUUUUAUGGUCAUGCUCCUAUGGUGAAUGGUUUAUUCUUAAUGAAUCUCGAGCGUAAUGCUACACAUAUUCAUAGUGUGAGUACCAAAAGAUGUAAAGUUGAUAAUGAUAGUCCUACAUACUUGUGGCACUGCCGCCUUGGUCACAUAGGUGUCAAACGCAUGAAGAAGCUCCAUGCAGAUGGACUUUUAGAGUCUCUUGAUUACGAAUCAUUUGACAUGUGCGAACCAUGCCUCAUGGGUAAGAUGACCAAGACUCCGUUCUCAGGAACAAUGGAGCGAGAACCAACUUAUUGGAAAUCAUACAUACUGAUGUAUGCGGUCCAAUGAGUGUUGAGGUUCGCGGUGGCUAUCGUUAUGUUCUCACCCUCACUGAUGAUUUGAGUAAAUAUGGGUAUAUCUACUUAAUGAAACACAAGUCUGAAACCUUUGAAAAGUUCAAGGAAUUUCAGAGUGAGGUUGAGAAUCAACGUGACAGGAAAAUCAAGUUUCUACGACCAGAUCGUGGAGGAGAAUACUUGAGUCACGAAUUUGGCACACACUUAAGAAAAUGUGGAAUAGUUUCACAACUCACACCGCCUGGAACACCUCAGCGUAAUGGUGUGUCCGAACAUCGUAAUUGCACCCUAUUAGAUAUGGUACGAUCUAUGAUGUCUCUUACCGAUUUACCGCUAUCUUUUUGGGGCUAUGCUUUAGAGACUGCCGCAUUCACUUUAAAUAGGGCUCCGUCGAAAUCCGUUGAGACGACACCGUUUGAAUUAUGGUUUGGGAAGAAACCUAAGCUGUCGUUUCUAAAAGUUUGGGGAUGCGAUGCUUAUGUCAAGAAACUUCAACCUGAAAAGCUCGAACCCAAGUCGGAAAAAUGCGUCUUCAUAGGAUACCCUAAAGAAACUGUUGGGUAUACCUUCUACCUCAGAUCCGAAGGCAAGAUCUUUGUUGCCAAGAAUGGAUUCUUUCUAGAGAAAGAGUUUCUCUCGAAAGAAGUAAGUGGGAGGAAACUAGAACUUGAUGAAGUGUUACCUCUUGAACCGGAAAAUGGCGCAACUCAAGAAAAUGUUCCUGAGGUGCCUGCACCGACUAGAGAGGAAGUUAUUGAUGAUGAUAAAGAUACUUCUGAUCAAGCUCCUACUGAAAUUCGAAGGUCCGCAAGGACACGUUCCGCACCAGAGUGGUACGGCAACCCUGUCUUGGAAAUCAUGUUGUUAGACAACGGUGAACCUUCGAACUAUGAAGAAGCGAUGGCGGGCCCGGAUUCCGACAAAUGGCUAGAAGCCAUGAAAUCCGAGAUAGGAUCCAUGUAUGAAAACGAAGUAUGGACUUUGACUGACUUGCCCGUUGAACGGCGAGCCAUAGAAAAUAAAUGGAUCUUUAAGAAGAAGACAGACACGGAUGGUAAUGUGACCAUCUAUAAAGCUCGGCUUGUCGCUAAGGGUUAUUGACAAGUUCAAGGGGUUGACUACGAUGAGACUUUCUCACCCGUAGCGAAGCUAAAGUCCGUCUGAAUUAUGUUAGCAGUUGCCGCAUACUAUGAUUAUGAGAUAUGGCAAAUGGGCGUCAAAACGGCAUUCCUUAAUGGUUUCCUUAAGGAAGAAUUGUAUAUGAUGCAGUCGGAAGGUUUUGUCGAUCCGAAGAAUGCUAACAAGGUGUGCAAGCUCCAACGCUCGAUUUAUGGGCUGGUGCAAGCAUCUCGGAGUUGGAACAUUCGCUUUGAUGUGAUGAUCAAAGCGUUUGGGUUUACGCAGACUUAUGGAGAAGCCUGCGUUUACAAGAAAGUGAGUGGGAGCUCUGUAGCAUUUCUCAUAUUAUAUGUAGAUGACAUACUUUUGAUGGGAAAUGAUAUAGAACUCUUGGACAGCAUCAAGGCCUACUUGAAUAAGAGUUUUUCAAUGAAGGACCUUGGAGAAGCUGCUUAUAUAUUAGGCAUCAAGAUCCAUAGAGAUAGAUCAAGAUGCCUCAUAGGUCUUUCACAAAGCACAUACCUUGAUAAGAUAUUGAAGAAGUUCAAUAUGGAUCAGUCUAAGAAGGGGUUCUUGCCUGUGCUACAAGGUAUGAAAUUGAGCUCAGCUUAAUGUCCGACCACGGCAGAAGAUAUAGAAGAGAUGAGUGUCAUCCCCUAUGCCUGAGCCAUAGGUUCUAUUAUGUAUGCCAUGCUGUGUACCAGACCUGAUGUAAACCUUGCCGUAAGUUUGGUAGGAAGGUACCAAAGUAAUCCCAGCAAGGAACACUGGACAGCGGUCAAGAAUAUCCUGAAGUACCUGAAAAGGACUAAGGAAAUGUUUCUCGUUUAUGGAGGUGACGAAGAGCUCGUCGUAAAGGGUUACGUCGACGCUAGCUUCGACACGGAUCUAGAUGACUCUAAGUCACAAACCGGAUACGUGUAUAUUUUGAAUGGUGGGGCAGUAAGCUGGUGCAGUUGCAAGCAGAGCAUCGUGGCGGGAUCUACAUGUGAAGUGGAGUACAUGGCAGCCUCGGAGGCAGCACAUGAAGCAAUAUGGGGGAAGGAGUUCAUCACCGACCUAGGAGUCAUACCCAAUGCGUCGGGGCCAAUCAAACUCUUCUGUGACAACACUGGAGCUAUUGCACUUGCCAAGGAGCCCAGGUUUCACAAGAAGACAAGGCACAUCAAGCGUUGCUUCAACUCCAUUCGUGAAAAUGUUCAAGAUGGAGACAUAGAUAUUUGUAAAGUACAUACGGACAUGAAUGUAGCAGAUCCGUUGACUAAGCCUCUCCCUAGGGCAAAACAUGAUCAACACCAGAAUUCCAUGGGUGUUCGAUUCAUCACAAUGUAACUAGAUUAUUGACUGUAGUGCAAGUGGGAGACUGUUGGAAAUAUGCCCUAGAGGCAAUAAUAAAAGCAUUAUUAUUAUAUUUCCUUGUUCAUGAUAAUUGUCUUUAUUCAUGCUAUAAUUGUGUUAUCCGGAAAUCGUAAUACAUGUGUGAAUAACAGACACCAACAUGUCCCUAGUAAGCCUCUAGUUGACUAGCUCGUUGAUCAACAGAUAGUCAUGGUUUCCUGACUAUGGACAUUGGAUGUCAUUGAUAAAGAGAUCACAUCAUUAGGAGAAUGAUGUGAUGGACAAGACCCAAUCCUAAACAUAGCAUAAGAUCGUAUAGUUCGUUGCUAGAGUUUUUCCAAUGUCAAGUAUCCUUUCCUUAGACCAUGAGAUCGUGUAACUCCCGGAUACCGUAGGAGUGCUUUGGGUGUACCAAACGUCACAACAUAACUGGGUGACUAUAAAGGUAGACUACGGGUAUCUCUGAAAGUGUCUGUUGGGUUGACACGGAUCAAGACUGGGAUUUGUCACUCCGUAUGACGGAGAGGUAUCACUGGGCCCAAUCGGUAAUGCAUCAUCAUUAUGAGCUCAAAGUGACCAAGUGUCUGGUCACGGAAUCAUGCAUUACGGUACGAGUAAAGUGACUUGCCGGUAACGAGAUUAAACGAGGUAUUGGGAUACCGACGAUCGAAUCUCGGGCAAGUAACAUAUCGAUUGACAAAGGGAAUUGCAUACGGGGUUGCUUGAAUCCUCGACAUCGUGGUUCAUCCGAUGAGAUCAUCGUGGAGCAUGUGGGAGCCAACAUGGGUAUCCAGAUCCCGCUGUUGGUUAUUGACCGGAGAGUCUUCUCGGUCAUGUCUGCCUGUCUCCCGAACCCGUAGGGUCUACACACUUAAGGUUCGGUGACGCUAGGGUUGUAGGAAUAUGUAUAUGCAGUAACCCGAAUGUUGUUCGGAGUCCCGGAUGAGAUCCCGGACAUCACGAGGAGUUCCGGAAUGGUCCGGAGGUAAUGAAUUAUAUAUAGGAAGUACUAUUUCGGCCAUCGGGACAAGUUUCGGGGUUAUCGGUAUUGUACUGGGACCACCGGAAGGGUCCCAGGGGUCCACCGGGUGGGGCCACCUGCCCCGGGGGGCCACAUGGGCUGUAGGGAGUGCGCCUUGGCCUACAUGGGCCAAGGGCACCAGCCCCAACAGAGGCCCAUGCGCCUAGGGUUUAAGAGGGAAGAGUCCCACUAGGGGAAGGCACCCCUUAGGUGCCUUGGGGGGAGGGAAACCUCCCUUUGGCCGCCGCCCCCUAGGAGAUUGGAUCUCCUAGGCCGGCGCCUCCCCCCCCCUAGGCCCUCCUAUAUAUAGUGGGGAAGGAGGGUUUUUCAGACACGCCUUUGGUUGCCUCCUUCUCCCUCUCCAACACCUCCUCCUCCUCCAUAGUGCUUAGCGAAGCCCUGCCGGAGUACUGCAGCUCCAUCACCACCACGCUGUCGUGUUGCUGCUGGAGCCAUCUUCCUCAACCUCUCCCCUCCCCUUGCUGGAUCAAGAAGAAGGAGACGUUACGCUGACCGUACGUGUGUUGAACGCGGAGGUGCCGUCCGUUCGGUGCUAGGAUCUCCGGUGAUUUGGAUCACGUCGUGUUCGACUACAUCAUCCCCGUUCUUUGAACGCUUCCGCUCGCGAUCUACAAAGGUAUGUAGAUGCAUCCGAUCACUCAUUGCUAGAUGAACUCAUAGAUGGAUCUUGGUGAAACCAUAGGAAAUUUUUUGUUUUCUGCAACGUUCCCCAACACGGAUAUCCGCCAGUUUCGCUCGAUCAACGUGAUGAGUCCGGCGUGAAGGGACACGGUUCGACACGAGAGGCAACCCCGGCGUCGUCAUCUUCAAGGCAUGCCGGCGUGUGGGAGUCGCCGAUGAGGAGUGCACCGGGAGCUACAUGCCAACGGCAGCCCGAUGUCACCGUCGUCUUGAGUGAAGAGCACACCAUCAUGGGCGCCGCGUCGUCGCUGGUGAUGAGUUUGGCGUAAAGGGAUCACCAGGGAUUGCACACGAACGGCAAGCCCGGCACCGUCGUCGUCUUGAAUGAAGGGCGCACCACCAUGGGCGUCGCGUCGUCGCCGGUGAUGAGUCCGGCGUGAAGGGAUCGCCGGGGGUUGCACACGAACGGCAACCCCGGUGUCGUCGUUGUCACUACAGGAAAUAUGUCAACUUGUGACCUUGACUAUUGGUCACUGAAAGGUCAUUAUUUUUCAUUUGCGACCUUUUUGUGACCAAAAACAGAAGGUCAAAAGCUGACGGUCGUAAACUGAAAUUAACAAGAAGGUCGUAGACGUUUACGACCAAAACAGAAGGUCAUUGAACCCAUGACCUUUUGUUUUGGUCACUGGCUGUCUGCCCAGGCCACGUCGGAUCCGGUGUGGGAAUCUGACGUGGAAAAAUUGCGACCAAUUAAAAAGGCCGUUGAUAAGAUUCAACUCGGUCCAAUUAGGUAUUUUACAUGGGCCGAGCUCAACAAUUCAACCUAUUUGUAUUUUUUCUCAUAUUAAUUUUGGUCGGGUAGAUGGGCCAAGCCCAACAUUUCAGCCUCGUUAUUUUUGGGCCUAGGCCUUUUUGUUUUCUUGGCCUUCACCUUUUCACAAUUGAUUUUUAAGCAAUUUUAUUCAUUUUCCUGAAUUGUUUGAUUUGUGGCCUUUUUAGGGCCCAAAUAGUAUUUGUUUCAUUUCUAAUGUAUCAGCAAUUAAUGAUCUGAUCCUAAAAACACAAUAAAUAAUCAACAUUUCCAAUAUUCCAAUCACAUAAAUUUUCACAAAUGGCGACCAAAAUGAGUAUAUUAUAUAUAUUACAAUCAUGCGAUAGUUCACAUCGUCUAGUAAUUUACAACACCCAGGAAGUGCAAAUACCUAGGAACAUCAAGGAACAUCUCUGAAGUAAACACCUAGGAACAUAAAACACCUAGGAAGAUAAAACUAGCUACAAAGAUGAAGUGUUCCCUUCUUCGAACUUCUUUAGCCUAGAGCUCCUGUAGAAGAGAGGAAAUUAUGUUAUCGUGGCUGCCAAUGAAAGCAAUAUCUUCCAACAAAGAACAACUAGGAAAAGAAUAAUAAACAGAUACACAAGCAGCUAGGAGCAUGGAUAACAGUAGUAUACUGCUGCUGAGGCAUUAGUAUGGAUAACAGAAUAAUGAAGUAUGGAUAACAGUAGCAACACUAGUAUACUGCUGCUGAGGCAUUAGUAUAAUGAACAGAACUUCCUGAAGUAUACUCCUGCUGCUGAAGUAUACAGUUGCUGCUGCUGAGUUUGCAUCAGUUUGCAAAUCUUAUAGAAUAAUUUGUUUAUGCCAGGAAUGCAUCAGUUUGUACAAUACUAGAAAGGGCAAAUAAAACAACAGAAUUGCAUAGGGCAAAUAAAACAUUUUAACCUGUUGUUGUUCUACACUUCAACAUGGAUAACAAAUCUAACAACGAUGGUUGGCAUCAUCCUUGCGUUGGCUAGUUAAAACUAAGAGCAGCAGAGCAGAUAUGUGUAUUACGCAGACAAAUAGGGGUGCUCCUGUUGGGUUGCAACAUGAAAGAGCCAGGUUUUUAUUACUGCUAAAAAAUACUUAGCAACCACAACAAAUUAUGAUCAAAGGAAUGGCAACGAAUCUAAGGGUUUAUUUUUGGCAAAAUAUCCAAGGUUGAGAAAUGCAAAAAUGCAAAAAACGCCGAUCUACUGUAGUUUGUUUAACCAUCACCACACUAAUGAACAUGUGUUCAAGAGAGUCGUUUGAUCCAAAGAAUUGAAGACGAAUAAACAAAAGAGAAAUAUUUCAAUUCUAUUCAGAAGUAUAGUCCAAGCUAUAUUUGACUUAUGAUGAAAUGCAUAGGUCCAGCCGAUGACUACACAGCAGCAACUACUUCAGACAUUGGCUGGAGAAAUGCUUAUCUUUUUUAUUCUUCAACGACGUAAAAAGAAAUGACAACGCAUCACCAACAAGAAUAGACUCUCACCCAACUAAUAUACUAGAACUAGAUCAACCAAGCAUCAGUUUUAAAAAGCUCGGUUGAAGAUACUUCAACGACGUAAAAUCUCAUUAGCAUCUCCUUGUAACAUGAUAUGCUCAGCUGACAAACGAUUCACAUGCAACUCCUCUACUUUAUAUCACACAAACACACAGAGCUGCAUCUCUAGAUGAGGAACAAAAAAACGUUGAUGGCAUGCUAAGCAUCAGUUUUAAAAAGCUCAAUUUUAGAUCAUCAAAGACCGGAAAGGCCGCAGUGGUCUAAAUGUUUCACAUCCUCUGCCCAGCACAACAUCAUCAUCGUCACGGAAAUUCCCUAAAUAGUCAGCUAUCCACAAAAACAUAGUGACCCACAUCACCAAUGAGCUACUGUGAGCAUGUAAGGACCAGAUACUUUGCAGAGCUACUAAGCAAAUGGGAUCGGGCGGAAGGGCAAAGAGAGGGAGGUGGCUACCUUCUCCACAGGGGAACUUCCUGGUGGUGAUGUUGAGCAGCAUCCUGACGGGGCCCUUGACCUUUAGCUGCUUCUCCUUGGCGCCCUUCACCAGAUCUGAGGUCACUGUUCAACACACGCACACACAAACGCAUCAGAUCGGAGGCGCACAAAUCCAGCCUCAUCCAACCAAGCACUAACAAACACAUGAAUGAUACUAACAUAAGCCAUAUAGUAGUCUUGGAAGUGUGCAAUGAAUUUGCACAGGAGUACGUACGUACAACACAAUAGAAACCUCAAGAAUCAUGGUGUGGAAUACAAUGAGGAAUGUUUGUUUGGUCGAGGAUGGGUCAGGCGCCCUUGAUCACGACGACGGGGCAGCCCAGGCUGUUGAUGCAGUACUUGCUCACACUACCCAAGAACAUCCUGUUCAACCAAAGGAACCGGAUCAGCUUGUUUCUUUCAUACACGAAAGGUGACGCCUAUCACACAAGCAGGCAGGCAACUGUCCUAGAAACUUCAUGAUCUAAAUAGAUUACAAGAUGAACUCCCCGAAAAAAAAUCGCUAAAUGAACUGAUCUAGAAGGUUACUACAGUGCUACUACAUGGCUGCACUAAAGAAUGUGAAGAUGUAGUUUUAGAUCCGUAGGAUUUGAAUCAAUUUUGGUUGUACAAGUAGAGUUCUUCACUGUGACCGUGAGAGAUUUCCAUGAAGCAAUGCAAGUUAGUUUUCAGUAGCUACUACUAAGACUGACUGACUGAACAGUUCUAUCCGCGGCAUUCAGUUCUAUGGAAAGAAAAAUGCUAUGCCAAGGCGCAAAUGCGCUACAGAUCAAGAGAAAUUUAUCUAUACACAUGCAGUCUCAUGUCUGCAGGAGCAGAUGUAACACAUACUUCACACUGUAUCAGAUUCAUACGCAAAAUGAUGUUUAUACAGUAGCACAGUUCUCUGAUAAUCUAGUUUUGCCCAAAUAUUAUAGUGUCUCAGUAAACACGGAUGAGAUCUGCAGUCGAAUUUGGAACGAACGAAUUUCACUACAGUCUACAGGUGUUGUACUGGCAAGAAAACUUAUUUCAGAAACCGCAAUUUCGUUUACAAUUUGCAUUUGAGCCAGGCAGCUAGUGAGCGCCAGAACAAUCAGAAAUUCAGCUCACCAAAUUGCAGAAGACAGAGCUGGUAUAUCCAUUACCUUGAGGGGGCCGAAAGCACGACACCCCAUGAUGAGCAGAACGGCCUUUUGUUCGGCCACCACCUCGCAAAUCUUCUCCUUGGGAUCCCCCACCACCACCUGCAUCUUCACCUCCACCUUCAACAGACCAACAAUCCGACCCAAUUUAAGCACCAAUUAAGCACGAGCAGCCGGGGGAAGAGAAAAAAUCAGCAAUCGGAACAGAGACGUCUCGUUUAACCGUCACCUUACAUUCUUAUCGGAGCAAAUCUUGAGCGCGUGAUCCGUCGCUGGUGCGAAUCGAUCGCCUGCGUGAACGCCGGCACCUUCGCCACACCUGCGCAACACCGAGACCCACCGAAGAAGCGGUCCGCGAUGAAGGGUCGAGGUAGCCGGAUGCGGAUGGGGCGACGCGGAUCCAGGUAGCCGGAUGUAGAUGGGGCAACACGGAUCCAGCUAGCCGGAUGCGGAUGGGGCGAUGUGGAUGGAGCCACUUGAGGGCGGGGAGGCGUGGUGACUCGGGCUCCUCGUCGUCGACACAGGGGUGGAGGCCGUCCAUGGUGCGGCGGCGGGGGCGGCGGCGGCUAGGGUUUUCGCGAGCGGGUGUGGGAGAGAAGGUGGGGAUUGGAACAAGUUGUGGCCUUGUGGGUACGGUGGGGAGUGGGGCUAUGGGGGCGUGGUGCUACGUGGGUGAGAUGGUUAAGGGGUGAGGGCUACCAUUGGAUCCAUAAGCAUCCGACGGUGGUUGAUGCAUGAUCCGUGUGAUAUGGCUAUGGACCAAUAAGAGCGCACCAAAUAAUUUGAAGACCUUUUGACCAUAUAAAUUGGUCGUGAUUGAUUACACACAAAUUUUUCAUUCCAUUUUUCAAUGCUUAAAAUGAGUUUUUUUAAAAACCUAUCAAAUAUUUGUUCAAAUGAUGUCAUAUUUUGCGCAAGUUUACAUUUUAGGUUGGCAAACAAUAUUGACAAAGGGAGUUUUUAUUUCUUUUGCAUGAAAAAAUAAUUUUCCAUUUUUUGAGUGCCCAAAAUAAGUUUUUUUAAGGACUUACCAUAUAUUUGUUGCAAAAUUGUACCAAAUCAAUUUUCUAAAAUACUAGGCCAUAUAUAAUGCACAGUUGACCAAAUGGUUGGGUGCCAAUAGUUUCGAUCCACCUCGUGAAAAAGACAAAUUUCCGCCGAUUCAGCGGGAAGCGGGUCAAAUUUGAACUGCAGCUGCCUUAUAGUUUGAUCUUUAUUUUUUGAAAAAAAUCACUUCUAGGUACAUACGUAUCUAUUUAAUCAGAGAAACACCAAUUUUUUUCCAAGAUUCAACCAGUAGCUAGGAACGGUCAUGCCCGCCGUUUUGACCGCAUUUUAAAACGGGCAUAAAAAUUCAAAAAAAAUCCAAAAAUUGGAAAACCUUCACAUUGUGUCAUUAUAUGUGGCCAAGUUACCAGGAAAAUAAUAAACUUGUAAUACAAUAAUUAUUUAAAAGAAGUGUUCUCAGAAACGAGCUAUCAUGUGUGAAGAUCAAUGGCUUUCAAGCCAAAUGAUCAAUCUUAUGGCCACAUUCAUGGCAUAGUUUGUUCAAAUGGUCUCAUAUUGUCCACAAGAGUGCAUAUUGGAAUGGCAAACAAUGUUGCCUAAGGAAAUUUUCAUUUUCUUUGGACGAAAAAAUCAUUUUCCAUUUUUCGAGUGCCCCAAAUGAGGUUUUUUUGUGAAGAGCCUACCAAAUAAUUGUUGCAAAAUUGGACCAAAUCAUUUUUAUAAAAUACUAGGCCAUAUUUAAUUCACAAUUGACCCAAUGGUUGGGUGUAAAAACUUUUGAUCCACCUCUGGUGAAAAAGACAAAUUUCCACUGAUUUAGUAGGAAGCGGGUCAAAUUUGAACUGUAGCUGCCUCUUAGUUUGCUCUUUAUUUUUUCCGAAAAUCAUUUCUAGGUACAUAACUAUCUAUUUAAUCAAAGAAACAUCAAAAGUUUUCCAAGAUUCAACAACUAGCUAGGAACGGUCAAGCUCGCCGUUUUGAUCGCAUUUUGAAACGGGCAUAAAAAAUUCAAAAGAAUCAAAAAAUUGGAAAACCUUCGCAUUGUGUCAUCAUAUGUGACCAAGUUUUCGGGAAAAAUAAUAAACUUAUAAUACGGCAAUUAUUUUUAAAAAGUGUUCUCGGAAAUGAGCUAUCAUGCGUGAAGAUUCAUGACUUUCAAGCCAAAUGAUCAAUCUUAUGGCCACAUUCAUGGCAUAGUUUGUUCAAAUGAUCUCAUAUUGUACACAAGGGUGCAUCUUGGAAUGGCAAACAAUGUUGCCUAAGGGAGUUUUCAUUUUGUUUGCACAGAAAAUUCAUUUUCCAUUUUUCAAGUGCCCGAAAUAAGGUUUUUUUAAGGAACUACCAAAUAAAUGUUGUAAAAAUGAACCAAAUCAAUUUUAUAAAAUACCAGGCCAUGUUUAAUGCAUAAUUGACAUAAUGGUUGGGUGUCAAAAGCCUUGAUCCACCUCUGGUGAAAAAGACAAAUUUCCGCUGCUUCAGCAGGAAGCAGGUCAAAUUUGAAAUGUAGCUGCCUCAUAGUUUGCUCUUUAUUUUUUCCAAAAAUCAUUUCUAGGUACAUAACUAUCUAUUUAAUCAGGGAAACAUCAAAAGGUUUCCAAGAUUCAACCACUAGCUAGGAACGGUCAAGCCCACCGUUUUGACCGCAUUUUGAAACGGGCAUAAAAAAAUUCAAAAAAAAUCAAAAAAUUGGAAAACCUUCGCAUUGUGUCAUCAUAUGUUAUCAAGUUUCCAGGAAAAAUAACAAACUUAUAAUACAACAAUUAUUUUAAAAAAGUAUUCCCAGAAAUGAGCUAUCAUGUGUGAAGAUUCAUGACUUUCAAGCCAAAUGAUCAAUCUUAUGGCCACAUUCAUAGCAUAGUUUAUUCAAAUAAUCUCAUAUUAUGCACAAGGGUGCAUAUUGUAAUUCCAAACAAUGUUUCCUAAGGGACUUUUUAUUUUCUUUGCACGGAAAAUUCAUUUUCCAUUUUCCGAAUGCCCGAAUUGAGUUCUUCUUGUGAAGGACCUACCAUAUAUUUGUUGCAAAAUUGGGCCAAAUCAUUUUUCUAAAAUACUAGGCCAUAUUUCAUUCACAAUUGACCAAAUGGUUGGGUGUCAAAAGCCUUGAUGCACUUCUGGUGAAAAAGACAAAUUCCCGCCGAUUCAGUAGGAAGCGGGUCAAAUUUGAACUGCAGCUGCCUCAUAGUUUGCUCUUUAUUUUUUCAAAAAAUUAUUUCUAGAUACAUAAGUAUCUAUUUAAUCAGAGAAACAUCAAAAGUUUUCCAAGAUUCAACCACUAGCUAGGAACGGUCAAACACGCUGUUUUCAUCGCAUUUCGCAACGGGCAUAAAAAUUUCAAAAAAAUCAAAAAAUUGGGAAACCUUCGCAUUGUGUCAUUAUAUGUGACCAAGUUUCCAGGAAAAAUAACAAACUUGUAAUACGGCAAUUGUUUUAAAAAAGUGUUCUCAGAAAUGAGCUAUCAUGCGUGAAGAUUCAAGGCUUUCAAGCCAAAUGAUCAAACUUAUGGCCACAUUCAUGGCAUAGUUUGUUCAAAUGAUCUCAUAUUGUUCACAAGGGUGCAUCCUGGAAUUCCAAACAAUGUUGACUAAGGGAGUUUUCAUUUUCUUUGCAUGGAAAAUUCAUUUUCCAUUUUUUGAAUGCCCAAAAUGAGUUUUUUUGUGAAGGAGCUACCAUAUAUUUGUUGCAAAAUUGGACCAAAUAAUUUUUAUAAAAUAUUAGGCCAUAUUUAAUGCAUAAUUGACAAAAUGGCUUGGUGUCAAAAGUUUUGAUCCACCACUUGUGAAAAAGACAAAUUUCUGCCGAUUUAGUAGGAAGCGGGUCAAUUUUGAACUGCAUCUACCUUAUUGUUUGCUCUUUAUUUUUUCCAAAAAUCAUUUCUAGUUACAUAAGUAUCUAUUUAGUCAUAAAUACAUGGUUUGGUGGCGAUACGCCGAGGUUUGGAUGUGGCCCAGGGCCCCAACUCCAAAGCGCGUAAACUCGCAUGCCCGCCGUGUGGUCACCAUGUGACCUUGGUGUUGACAUGCGUUCUGGGAGGGCUAGGCAUGUCUAGUGGGUUGGGCACUCCCCAGGUAGGUGCUAGGAAGAAAAUUACAACAGAAGAAUCUCACGAGGGGACUGACCUAUGCUUAAAGAUGAAUUAGCAGCCAAGUGUUUGAUUAGCGGUACGGGAAAUGCACAUGGCCACUGGGCGUGAGUUUUGGCUGAGGAUAAUCAUCUACUAAGGAGAAUUUCUUCACAAAUUUUUAGCUCAAAAGGAGGAUCCUAGGUGGUACUUGCUUUGCAAAGUACCACGCUGGACAAAAAUACAAAAGUUGAAGCUGGGCUCAAAAUAAUGAAUGGAUUGAGCUGAAAUUUGGUGGAGGAUGGUUAUUUGGGCAUAGGAAAGCAUUGUAGAAAAUUGAUAACAUUUGGACAUGCCAAAGUAGUACUUCCUUCACAAUGCUCUUCUAUGGACAGAAACUUGGGGAGACUAGUGAGAGAGAUUGGAUAAAUGAAAUGAGCUCAAAAUUGGUGUAGGUAAGUUACAUAGGUAUGGUCAUGCGCUGGUAAAUUUUCAGAUCAUUUGGGUAAGCCUAUCUAGUACUUACUUCACAAAGCUUCUCUCGAGGUAGAAACUUUGGAAAUUUCCUGAGAAAGAUUUACUAGGAAAAUUGAGCUGAAUAUUAUCAUGUGGCAAUGAUUUGGGUAUGGAAGAGUGCCCAAAAAGUUUGAGGGUAAUAGGAGGGGUCUAUAUAACACUUGCUUUGCAACGUGCCAAUUUGGCCAUAAAAUAUAAAUUGAACAUGGGCUCAUAUAGAUGAUUUGACUGAGCUGCAAUUUGGAGGAGGGUGAUAAUUUGGGCAUAUGAAGAAACUGAAUAAAUUUCAUGUCAUUUUGACAUACAAAAAAGGUACUUUCUUCACAAUGCUUCUAGGUGGACAAAAACUUUGGAAAUUUGCCGAGGAAGAUUUGCUAGGCAAAUGGAGCUGAAUUUUGUCAUACGGUAAUGAUUUGGAUAGGAAAGAGUGCCAAAAAAUUCCGAGGGCAAUCAAGAAUAUAUAAAUAGCACUUCCUUCAUAAAGUGUUGUUGUGAACAGAAUAGAAAAAUGAACAUUGUUGAAUUAGUUUUGAACUAGGCAAGGAAUGAUUUUUAAAUAUUUGAUGAAGAUAUGACCCAAAGAAUUUAUGAGAUUUUUUUGGGAAUUUUGGAAAUGACAGAAAUAUAGGUUGCAUCACAACCUAGGGCAAAAAUUGACACAUAGACAUGACAUAUAGGCAAAACUGAUGAGGUGGCGUCAAGUCAUACCAAUCCACCACAAUUUACAAGGUUAUGACCAUCUAUAUUGGUCAUGAUCAGCUAGAAAAAAGGCAGCGGAUUAGUGUUGUCUGCUUUAUGCCAUUUCGUGUAAGGAAAUUACGACCUUUCUGACCAAAAUGGUCGCAACGGUUUAGGGUUUGGAGCCCCCUGAACAAUUUUUGACCAAUUGGUCUCAGAUGGUCAUAGAUCUAUGACCAAUUCUUUCAGGGUCACUGACAGAAGGUCACUAGUUGACAUAUUUCUUAUAGUGUGUCUUGAUGAGUGAAGGGCGCAACACUACAGGCGUGUCGUCGCCGCCGGUGAUGAGUCCGGCGUGAUGGAAUCGCCGAGGGUUGCACACGAACGACGACUAAGGCAUCGUUGACUUGAGUAAAGGGCGCACCGUCUUCAGGAGUAUCGAGUGCCAAUGCCGGCAUCCGGCUUCGUCUCCGGCCGUGCGGCAGCAGCUCCGGUUGCGAUCAUCGAGAUGUGGAGAGAGAGGAGAGAUAGAAAGAGAGAGAUGGCAUAAAGGAGAGCUAACCAUUGUAGAAGAUGACCGCCAUGGCCACGUUGCUCUCUCCUGACGGUCUGUCGGCUCACGUUGCCCGCGCGCUCGCCAGCAUGAGCUCUCCAGCGAUCUGAGGCCGUGCACGUUGUUCACGUACGCGAGCUGUCCCGCAGCAGCGAUCUAUGCCGCGUAUACACUAACCCCUAUGAACGCACAUAUAUAUCCUACCCCUAUAAGCAUCUCCGAAAGAAUGAGCCGACAUAUUAUCUUGAAAUUUACGAAAUCACCGUAGGCACCUCGUCGUCGACGGGAACAUCUCCUCGCACUAAAUGCACAUCGUCGAAAAUCCUGAAAUAAAUACAUGACUUGAACCCUGGUGGGCUGGUGAUACCACAGUUCCUCUAACCAUCCAACCACAUGUUGGUUCACGUUUAAGAUAAUCAAGGCCGGCCCUGAGGGGGCGCAGGGGGGCGGCCGCCCCGGGCCCCCAAGAUCUAGAGGCCCCCGUCCAGGUGUAAUAUACGUAUAAAGGUAAGUAUAGUAGCAGGCCAUAUCUUCACGUAGAAAAAAGAAGUAGCCCAGCCCAAGAAGGAAGGUAGCAGCGAACGCACAUAAAUCAGGGUACGAUCAUGCGGAAACAAAUCAGCGUACACACGUAAAUCCCGUCGGCUCAUUCUCUUUAUUCCAUAACUACCGUGAGACAUUCUCCCUCCAAAAGAAAAAUAAACGAUCAUGUGACGUGAGGUCAUCCCUAAUUCCCUCUAUUCUCUGUUCUCCGCAAGCUCCAAACUCCAGAUCCCAAAUCGCUUAGGGGUGACUAGUCUCUGUUAGGUUGAUCUCUUUUCCGUUCGAGCCCAACGGCUUGACGGGACCGUGCACCGCUGACCCCCACCAACAUCCCUACCGAUCUAGGGUUACCGCGAGCCGAUGGGAUGCUCCACUGCAUCCACCCUAGCGCACACACAACCCCACGCCGACGACUCCACCAUGGCCGCCGCGCGCUGGUUCCUCGAGCCAAGGAGAAGGUGAUCUCCUCCCUCCGCCGUCAAUCCUAGCAUACCCGACCCCACAUCAUCUAUCAGUCUCCGGGCACUGUAUGCGGCGACGACACAGCACGAACAUCACCUACCCCAGAAAAUUGACAUUGCCGGCCCGAGCGCACAUGUACAUCCUCGAGUGUCUGCCACCAGAAAUCUACAUCACAUCAUCGCCGAGCGUCCAAUGACUGACGCCGAUCUAAUCAAUCUCAGGUAUGUCAAUAGUACUAUUCCAUACAGUUUAAAGUAAAACUUCGUGCUUUGAGAAAGAGAGAAUUUGAUAAAAGUAGUUGCCAUGAAGAAUCUAUAAGAUGCGGAUGAUUUUUUUUUUGCAUGUUACAUAUCUGUUUGUUUUGGUUGAUAUGAAUCACUUCAUUGAAGAAAGGAUAUAACUCACUGUGUUGAAAGAUUGUUCAGAUUUACUGUGCAUGUGAUUGUUGCAUCAGCUAAAAGAAGCUUUUCAAAUUUAAAAUUAUUGAAGAACCAUCUGGGAUAAACAAUGAACUAAAAGAGUUUAAAUGGUUAGGCAACAUUAUGCAUCGAUAACAAACUAUUGGAUGAUAUUGACAUUCACACAAUCAUAAGUGAUUUUUCAUUGAAGAAUCUUACAAGAAAAUUUGAAGAUAUGCAUAUUAUGUUUAUAACAAGGGGCCCCAAAUUAUACUUUCGCCCCGGGCCCCCAAAAUCUCAGGACCGGCCCUGAAGAUAAUCGUGUUGGUACUUAUCUGUUGGGCCUGUGGGUAUUCGAGUAUUUUCUUUUUGCAGAAAUGGUUUUCGAGUAUGUACGCAGCACUCAUACAUACGCGCAUAUACUCAUCCCUAUGUACACACACAUCGUACUCAUAUGGGCACCUUCAAGAGACUGAGCUGGCAUAAUAUCUUGAGAUUUGCAAAGCCAUUGUAGAUGUCUCGUCAUCGACUGAAACGUCUCCUUCCACUAAAAGCGCAUCGCCGAAAAUUUUAAAAUAAAUUUAGAAAUAAUGCGAGCACGAGAACUUAAACCUGGUGGGAUGGUGGAGAUACCACUCUCUCUAACUAUCCAACCACUCUCCCGGGGACGCAAGCAUUCACGUAUGUAUUCGUACACCCACGGGAGUACUUGAAUCGCGUACGACGCGGCCGAGACGUGCGCACACACAUAUCUGCACCCAGUUUGCAUGCAUGCACAUGCUAAGCCAAAACAUGCAUGGCCAUGCAUUACUUUGCAUCCAUCAGCCCAUGUGCUAGUUAUACAUACGUUGGUUCUUUAGCCAUCAUGUACGUAAAUGAUUGAGCUACCUCAUUAACCGGUUAAUACUAUCCCAUUAACCUUCACUUCAAUCACGGGCACUUCAGAAUGUAUACCGUGCAAUUCUAAAAAAAAAAGGAAUGUAUACGUGCACAUCAAUGGCUUCUUCAACAUAAACAUGCGCACGUGCAGGGGCACUCCUUGCUCCAUGCAUACAAAUGUACGUGUUAUUUGUGCAAAUUAUCAUCAAACAACUCUUUCUUAACAAGGCAAUGUUGAUCUAUUCUUUUUAUUUUCAUACUCCCUCUGUCCGAAAAUACUUGUUCUCGAAAUGGUUGUAUCUAGACUUAUUUUAGUUAUAGAUACAUUCAUUUUAUCCAUUUUUAGGACAAGUAUUUCUGGA